ACGUAGGGUGCGAGCGUUGUCCGGAAUUACUGGGCGUAAAGAGCUCGUAGGUGGUUUGUCGCGUUGUCCGUGAAAACUCACAACUCAAUUGUGGGCGUGCGGGCGAUACGGGCAGACUGGAGUACUGCAGGGGAGACUGGAAUUCCUGGUGUAGCGGUGGAAUGCGCAGAUAUCGGGAGGAACACCUGUGGCGAAAGCGGCGCACUGGACCAUAACUGACGCUGAGGCGCGAAAGCUAGGGGAGCAAACAGGA
rnacentral:rRNA from 1 species